rnacentral:rRNA from 1 species
GGGCCCGCACAAGCGGAGGAACAUGUGGUUUAAUUCGAUGAUACGCGAGGAACCUUACCUGGGCUUGAAAGGGGAACGACCUCCCGGGAAACCGGGAUUCUCUUCGGAGCGUUCUCCUAGGUGCUGCAUGGUUGUCGUCAGCUCGUGCCGUGAGGUGUCGGGUUAAGUCCCAUAACGAGCGCAACCCCUAUUGAUAGUUGCCAGCGGGUAAUGCCGGGAACUCUAUCGAAACUGCCGGUGUAAACCGUGAGGAAGGUGGGGAUGACGUCAAAUCAGCACGGCCCUUAUGUCCAGGGCUACACACGUGUUACAAUGGUCGGUACAAAGGGCAGCUAUGCCGCGAGGCAAUGCUAAUCUCGAAAACCGGUCUCAGUUCGGAUCGAAGUCUGCAACUCGACUUCGUGAAGCUGGAUUCGCUAGUAAUCGCGCAUCAGCAACGGCGCGGUGAAUACGUUCCCGGGCCUU